rnacentral:rRNA from 1 species
GACAGCAGGUGCCAAGCGUUAGGCGGAAUCACUGGGCUUAAAGCGUGUGUAGGCGGGCGGCAAGUGACCCAUGUCGAAAUCCCACGGCUCAACCGUGGAACGGCUGGGGUAGUACGUGCCUGUCUUGAGCCAGCUGGGGCGACCGGAACAGACGGUGGAGCGGUGAAAUGGCGUAGAUAUCGUCUGGAACGCAAAGGUGAAAACAGGUCGCUGGG